GGUGGCACAGUGAAUAAGCAUUUGGCUGGUAACCAAAAGGUCAGCAGUUCAAAUCUGCUUGCCACUU
rnacentral:tRNA from 1 species